rnacentral:antisense_RNA from 1 species
CUUCACCGAACCCAACCACAGCGGCUCGUCGCGGUCCUGCCCGUAGGUCGCCAGCAACGCCUGCGCCUC